CGCAAGCCUGACGGAGCAACGCCGCGUGAGGGAUGAAGGCCUCUGGGCUGUAAACCUCUUUUCUCAAGGAAGAAGACCUGACGGUACUUGAGGAAUAAGCCACGGCUAAUUCCGUGCCAGCAGCCGCGGUAAUACGGGAGUGGCAAGCGUUAUCCGGAAUUAUUGGGCGUAAAGCGUCCGCAGGCGGCCCUGUAAGUCUGUCGUUAAAGCGUGGAGCUUAACUCCAUUUAAGCGAUGGAAACUACAGGGCUUGAGUGUGGUAGGGGCAGAGGGAAUUCCCGGUGUAGCGGUGAAAUGCGUAGAUAUCGGGAAGAACACCAGUGGCGAAGGCGCUCUGCUGGGCCAUAACUGACGCUCAUGGACGAAAGCCAGGGGAGCGAAAG
rnacentral:rRNA from 1 species